GGGCCUGACAAAGUCCCUUCUUAGCCGAACUCAGCAAAUUAAUGGCGGACGAUUUGCAGGAAAAUUCUGCUAUCAUUCAAUAGCGCCAUCUAUUGGUUAGCACCGCCGAAAUUUUAACAUAACCUCAAAAUUUGUUUACAUUUCCACUAAAACGUCCGAAAUCGAGAAUAUUUAAUUAAUUUAUUUAGUUUUAAAUUAUUUUAUCGUCCCCAAGUGAUAAAGACCGGUAAUUUGGGUAAGAGAAAGUGAUUUUAGAAAAAAAUUGUGUAGUUUUACAAAGAAAGUGCAAAAAAAUACUUCAGAAAAAUCAUACAAGGCAGUUGAUCACCACCAGAAAGCCCGGAAAUUUCACAUAGGCAGGACUCGAACGGCAGGAAAAUAUAGAGAUAUUCUGCAAAAUAAAUGUGAGAUCAACGCAAUGGAGAAUUAUCCACAAUACACGGCAUCCUUGUCCGGGAAUACAGUAAUCACUGUAUGGAACGACGAAUCCAAAAGGAAAUAAAGUGUAUCACUACGAUUUCAUGCAUUUCAUGGGACGGGUAAGACUACGAGGGUGUCUUCCUCAAUUUUCAAUCUUUUAGCUCAAAAAAUGCAUGUUAAAUUCUCAUUAAAUAAAAUGUUACAGCAACAAUAAGAAGAGGGCCCAUUCACGCUGCUCCAGCCGCUCCAGCCUAUAAAUUUCAGGGUUUUCUCAUGGGAAUCAAGAACGAUCUCCCCGUCAAGUGUUUUGUAAGAUGAACUUGGAGAAAGAAUUAGUGAUACACCUUGAUAAGACUGUAAAAAUUACCAAAAUUCUUCGUGCUUGUGAUCAGUCAGUGAUUCAUUUACUUGGAUGGAUUAAGAAGAAAGCCAUUGAGAAAGUUCCAAGGAUGAACAUUUUUCCACGAGUUUCUUCCUUUCCCGCAAACGUAUUUUAACAAGGCAGUUGCAUAAACAACCCCACUGCUGGUACAUUUUCCGACGAAGAUCUUGGAGUGGAAAAAUUCCUGUUUUCUACAGCAAAUCCUCUAAGAAAGUCACAACAUCGAGAUUCAGCAUUAGGAGAGUUGAAGAGGAAAUUCUCAAUACGGGAAAUGCAGAUUACUGGUUGAAAAAACCAGAGAAGGAUUUAUUCCCGGAAUGUGAAAAAUUCGAAGAGAUGUUAGAAAAGGAGGAUUUCUACUCAUAAUAAUACAACAAGGGAAUCCUUCAUUUGAUGAGAUUCUUCAUGCCCUUCACGAUGUUCCGGCCUAUCAUUUAUGUGACACAGAACAUCUAGCUACAAAACAUACAGCUCACUCAUUGGAAUAGAGUUAGAAGUUUAAAUGUGAUAUUUGAGGUAUCACCCCAAAGUUGAUCUAAAUCUGCACUCUGGCAAUUCUCAUCGAUGAAGCGGUACAUCCUUCACUGUAGCUCCUGCGGGGAAAUGCAG